ACUCCUACGGGAGGCAGCAGUGGGGAAUAUUGCACAAUGGGCGCAAGCCUGAUGCAGCCAUGCCGCGUGUAUGAAGAAGGCCUUCGGGUUGUAAAGUACUUUCAGCAGUGAGGAAGGCGGUACGUUAAUAGCGUGCUUCGUUUGACGUUAGCUGCAGAAGAAGCACCGGCUAACUCCGUGCCAGCAGCCGCGGUAAUACGGAGGGUGCGAGCGUUAAUCGGAAUUACU
rnacentral:rRNA from 1 species